rnacentral:lncRNA from 1 species
UCAAUUCCAUAGCUAUUCACAAAGAGGAUAUUUGAGUACUUAUUCUAAUGGUUGGUAAGUUAAGACGAGAGACCUAAAUUACCAUAAAUUACAACUACUUUGACGAAAAAAGUAACUGUCUGUUUAUGAUAUUAUCAACAUUACUUUUUGUUAAAUGUUUGGCUGUAAAAAUAUUUAUUUUAAUCCACUUUUUAAAACACGUUUUUUUUGCCAACUUCAGACUCUCUUAAUAUACAUAUGUACAAUGUACGUGCAUAAUUACUUGCAAACUUUAUAAAUCAAUACAUACUAUUCAUCAAAAUAAUCAAUCAAUUAACACUUGGCAAAUCCUUACAGCCUUUAGAAAUAACAUGACUAUCAAAAAAUUAGGUUUUUAUAAGUCAGAAUGGGUGGGUUAGGAUUGUCUUGCAGGCAUGCAUGCUCUCUCCAAACUUGUUAUUAUUUCUAUUCUUCAACUAUUGUUAGGGUAAACAUGAGUCUAACUCGUUAAUUGGAUGAAAAAAAAUGAAAAGGUUCAAGAUUAGUAAAACAAUAAAGUUUAUCCUCUUAAUAGUACUUUUGUCAAAAACACCGGGUUCUUCUAUCCGAUUCCAUCACUAAUGUAAUGUUCCAAGGACGCUACCUAAUACGGAAGUACUCGACCCGGAGGAAAGGCUAAUGAAGGAGAUGAUUAGAUUGGGGUUACAAUCACACACUGAAUUAUAUUUGUAGUGGAUUUCUUAUUUAAAAGGAUGUACAUAGACUCUGAUAAUAAAAUAUAAUUUUUUUUACUCCAUGAUGAUGUUGGGAAUCGUGGCCUUCAAAGGGGAAGAGGAUACCACCGUAUUGUUUCCUGAAAGACUGAAAAUCGGGGCCAAUGAAUAACUGGACGUCCUCGUGGAGGUGGUCUUUCCCUGGGGGAAGUUCAAUUACCCCGAAGGAAACACCAAGUUUUUUUUUGUUUUUUUUUCGAGCUUGCUUUCAUGUUAUUAGAGAAAAGUUUUCAUGUUUGUGGAGGCCUAAUAACUUCUGAUACCACUACUAAUAAAGAAGUAGUACCAAUUGAAAGAAAAUUACAGGACUUGUUGAGACUGUCUCAAAUUUCUCAUGAUUGACUGAGAUCAAAAAUAAUUGUAGUUUUGUCACACUCGAGCAACCCUUGCAAGUUAUUAAAAUUU